GAGUUUGAUCCUGGCUCAGAUUGAACGCUGGCGGCAGGCCUAACACAUGCAAGUCGAGCGAGAAAGCACUUCGGUGUGAGUAGAGCGGCGGACGGGGCGGACGGGUGAGUAACGCGUAGGAAUUUGCCCAGUAGUGGGGGACAACAUGUGGAAACGCAUGCUAAUACCGCAUACGCCCUAUGGGGGAAAGCAGGGAUCUUCGGACCUUGCGCUAUUGGAGAAGCCUGCGUCGGAUUAGCUAGUUGGUGGGGUAAAGGCCCACCAAGGCGACGAUCCGUAGCUGGUCUGAGAGGAUGAUCAGCCACACUGGGACUGAGACACGGCCCAGACUCCUACGGGAGGCAGCAGUGGGGAAUAUUGGACAAUGGGCGAAAGCCUGAUCCAGCCAUGCCGCGUGUGUGAAGAAGGCCUUAGGGUUGUAAAGCACUUUCAGUAGGGAGGAAAAGUUAGUCGUUAAUAACGGCUAACCCUGACGUUACUCGCAGAAGAAGGACCGGCUAACUCCGUGCCAGCAGCCGCGGUAAUACGGAGGGUCCGAGCGUUAAUCGGAAUUACUGGGCGUAAAGCGCGCGUAGGCGGUUAGAUCAGUCAACUGUGAAAGCCCUGGGCUCAACCUGGGAACUGCAUCUGAUACUGUCUAACUAGAGUUUGGUAGAGGAGUGUGGAAUUUCCUGUGUAGCGGUGAAAUGCGUAGAUAUAGGAAGGAACACCAGUGGCGAAGGCGACUCCCUGGCCAGAUACUGACACCGAAGGUGCGAAGCGUGGGGAGAAAACAGGAUUAGAUACCCUGGUAGUCCACGCCGUAAACGAUGUCUACUAGCCGUUGGGAGACUUGAUCUCUUAGUGGCGCAGCUAACGCGAUAAGUAGACCGCCUGGGGAGUACGGUCGCAAGAUUAAAACUCAAAUAAUUGACGGGCCCGCACAAGCGGUGGAGCAUGUGGUUUAAUUCGAAGCAACGCGAAGAUCCUUACCCGCUCUUGACAUCCACAGAGCUUUCCAGAGAUGGAUUGGUGCCUUCGGGAACUGUGAGACUGGUGCUGCAUGGCUGUCGUCAGCUCGUGUUGUGAAAUGUUGGGUUAAGUCCCGUAACGAGCGCAACCCUUGUACUUAUUUGCCAGCACCGUAUGGUGGGAACUCUAAGGAGACUGCCGGUGACAAACCGGAGGAAGGUGGGGACGACGUCAAGUCAUCAUGGCCCUUACGAGCGGGGCUACACACGUGCUACAAUGGCCAGGACAAACGGUUGCAACCCCGCGAGGGUGAGCUAAUCUGAGAAACCUGGUCGUAGUCCGGAUCGCAGUCUGCAACUCGACUGCGUGAAGUCGGAAUCGCUAGUAAUCGUGAAUCAGAAUGUCACGGUGAAUACGUUCCCGGGCCUUGUACACACCGCCCGU
rnacentral:rRNA from 1 species